AAUCAACGCUGGCGGCGUGCCUCAGACAUGCAAGUCGAACGAUUAAACUUUCCUUCGGGAAAGAUAUAAAGUGGCGCACGGGUGAGUAACACGUAAGUAAUCUACCUUCGAGUGGGGAAUAACAUCGGGAAACCGAUGCUAAUACCGCAUAAUGCAGCGGCAUCGCAAGAUGACAGUUGUUAAAGGAGCAAUCCGCUUGAAGAGGAGCUUGCGGCAGAUUAGCUAGUUGGUAAGGUAAUGGCUUACCAAGGCUUCGAUCUGUAUCCGGCCUGAGAGGGCGGUCGGACACACUGACACUGAAUAACGGGUCAGACUCCUACGGGAGGCAGCAGUCGGGAAUUUUGGGCAAUGGGCGAAAGCCUGACCCAGCAACGCCGCGUGAAGGAUGAAGUAUUUCGGUAUGUAAACUUCGAAAGAAUGGGAAGAAUCAAUGACGGUACCAUUUAUAAGCUCCGGCUAACUACGUGCCAGCCGCCGCCGCGGUAA
rnacentral:rRNA from 1 species